CCUCUGUCCUCUGCCGCCCAGUGUCUCCGCUGUGCUGACCGACUGCAUUUCUGACACUCUCUUGCAGUGAUGCAGCCAGUGACGGCAGUGCUGAAAGCCCACUGGCGUGUUUGCAGCCUGUCUGCCUGCAGCCCUUUCUAUGGCUCUUUCCAGUUUCCCUCUGAUUUAUUCUCACACUGAGCCACGAGAGAACUGAGGGGGCUGUUGUUGGACCUCUUGCCAAAGGGAAAAUGGAGGAUCUUCCCAUUUCUGUCAACCUCGGAUGAGGCACCGCUCCUGCCCAUCCCGUCCCCCAGCCUGCCCUGUGCCUGUCCUCCACCCAUCAGCAUCAUUUGUUCUUCCUCUAGACUGGAAGCUCGUCGUGGGCAAGGGGCGUGUCUACCACCUCUGUACUCUCCCAAGCGCUAGGACAGUGCUCUGCACGCAGAAAACUCUCAAAUGAUUUGAUUCCGGGCAGGGCAGGCGUUCAGAGUGACUAGAUUUCAUCCAGGUCUCACGGCUGGUUGGCUUGGGAAAAGUCACCAUGGUUUCUGGAUUCGUGUCAACCAGGAAGGGUAGGAAUUUAGACUGGGCUCCCCCGAAGGCUUGGGGCGGGCCUGGGGACUUAGGGCUGCCUCUGGACAGCCUCUCUUCGGCAGACUCGUGAUAUUUUGGAAGAGAGGGUGGACCUUGCAGAUGAACAUUCCUACUCUGCCAUCGCUAGAGGGUAGUAGUGGCCAGAGGAGAAUGCAAAGCGAAUCCCUCCUGCAGGAUGAAGAGCCAUUGUUCAGGCCCGAGGGAUUGGGUGUGGUGGGUUCACGAGAAUGGGCAGCCCUCUUCUGAGCGAAGGAAAGCUGCUGUGCCUUCGUGGCUCCGGAUCUGGGACCCUAAAUGUCCCAAGGAGAAGAGGAGGGUGGAGAGAUCCAGCUGAAGGUAUAGAAGUCUCCUCUCAGAGCAGUCCUGAUCUCAAGGACGUCUGUCCCACCGGUCCCAAAUGGUCAAUCGCAAAAAAGGUCUUGCUGCCUGUGUGGUGCUGGGCUUUGAAAUUCUCAAGUGAGCAGCGGGAGAUUCAUGCAGCUCUUAUUGUGAUGGUUUGGGCAAGAAUGCUGCUGGGAAUUCGAGAACGGCCUCCUUCCUCAUCAUCAAUGAUGAGAAAACCGAGGCCCAAAGAGGUGACUCGCUCAAGGUCACGCAGCAGACUUGUGACUAAAUUAAAGGGAGGGGCCGUGGCCGAUCCCAGAACUGCCCGUGGACUGGACAGCCCGGCUCAGCCCAGUCCUGCCCAGAGGAAAGGAAAACAGUCUAACCACGGGAUGCUCUUCCAGCCUCCAUUCCGGGCAGACCUGCAGACCCCGACCAGGGUCCCAGAGGGACCAAAGGGCUGAGGUGGGCACUGGGGAGGAGGGGCAGAUCUGGGUGAAGGGAAACUUUC
rnacentral:lncRNA from 1 species